rnacentral:rRNA from 1 species
GCCCAGACUCCUACGGGAGGCAGCAGUGGGGAAUAUUGCACAAUGGGGGAAACCCUGAUGCAGCGACGCCGCGUGAGCGAAGAAGUAUUUCGGUAUGUAAAGCUCUAUCAGCAGGAAAGAAAAUGACGGUACCUGACUAAGAAGCUCCGGCUAAAUACGUGCCAGCAGCCGCGGUAAUACGUAUGGAGCAAGCGUUAUCCGGAUUUACUGGGUGUAAAGGGAGCGCAGGCGGUCUGGCAAGUCUGAUGUGAAAGGCCGGGGCUCAACCCCGGGACUGCAUUGGAAACUGUCAGACUGGAGUGUCGGAGAGGUAAGCGGAAUUCCUAGUGUAGCGGUGAAAUGCGUAGAUAUUAGGAGGAACACCAGUGGCGAAGGCGGCUUACUGGACGAUGACUGACGCUGAGGCUCGAAAGCGUGGGGAGCAAACAGGAUUAGAUACCCGAGUUU